GCACAAGCGGUGGAGCAUGUGGUUCAAUUCGAAGCAACGCGCAGAACCUUACCAGCCCUUGACAUCCCGGUCGCGGGAACCAGAGAUGGAUCCCUUCAGUUCGGCUGGACCGGAGACAGGUGCUGCAUGGCUGUCGUCAGCUCGUGUCGUGAGAUGUUGGGUUAAGUCCCGCAACGAGCGCAACCCUCGCCCUUAGUUGCCAUCAUUCAGUUGGGCUCUCUAAGGGGACUGCCGGUGAUAAGCCGCGAGGAAGGUGGGGAUGACGUCAAGUCCUCAUGGCCCUUACGGGCUGGGCUACACACGUGCUACAAUGGCGGUGACAGUGGGAUGCAAUGGGGCAACCCUGCGCAAAUCUCCAAAAGCCGUCUCAGUUCGGAUUGUGCUCUGCAACUCGAGCACAUGAAGUUGGAAUCGCUAGUAAUCGUGGAUCAGCACGCCACGGUGAAUACGUUCCCGGGC
rnacentral:rRNA from 1 species